rnacentral:rRNA from 1 species
AUUGAACGCUGGCGGCAUGCCUUACACAUGCAAGUCGAGCGGCAGCGCGGGGGCAACCCUGGCGGCGAGCGGCGCACGGGUGAGUAAUACAUCGGAACGUGUCCUUUCGUGGGGGAUAACCAGUCGAAAGAUUGGCUAAUACCGCAUGAGAUCUCACGAUGAAAGCGGGGGACCCGAGGGUAACUUCGGGCCUCGCGCGAUUGGAGCGGCCGAUGUCGGAUUAGCAGUUGGCGGGGUAAAAGCCCACCAAGGCGACGAUCCGUAGCUGGUUUGAGAGAACGACCAGCCACACUGGGACUGAGACACGGCCCAGACUCCUACGGGA